rnacentral:lncRNA from 1 species
AUUAUGAUCUUCAGGCUUUGCCUAUCCAGGUGGGCUUACUUUCCAAAUGUAUAAAGUAUGAUUGAGUUAUUAAGCUCUAAAUGUUUCAAUGAAAUGCAAAUUGUUUAUUUAAUGAAAUGCAAACUGUUUAUCCAAUAAAAUGUUUAUGUGCACUCUGCUCUGUUUAAGGCUCGCCACAACGAAUCAAUUGAGGUUCUCUUAUGACCUAACACGUUAUCUGAGAAUUGUGUACACUCGUUAGCUGACCUGGUGGGUUGAUCUCCAUCGGGCACUAACUAAGAGGCGUUAUAAGGGUGCUUGCUGGAUGUGUUCCGAAGCAUGUAAUGUAAGGCCUGCCUGGGUAGCGUCCCGAGGUCAAUUCAACUUGUCUGAGUUACGUCCUCAGGGCAAGUGCAAUGGGAGAAAUGGAUCCGUCGGUGGCUAAAGGUCCGGGAUCACAGCGAGUAACAGAAAGGGAGUGUGACAUGUGCGCACAAAUGAAAGAAAAUAUUUUAGCAUGCUUAGAAGUUAUUUCAAUUUAAAACCUUCUAAGUCAUGUCAAGUAUGAUUGGAUAAACUGUCUUUAUUAAAAUAUGAAAUGUUUCAGAAAAUGCAUGCCCACUAAGUACAUUAGUACUUAGCCCAAAAAUACUUUCAAAUGUUUUCAGGUUGGCUGGCUGGUGCUGACGGGACGGAGCUGAGGCUAGCGAUAAAUUCCUAUGUUAGACUUUCGCUGUAGCAAUUACUCAUAUCAGUCUUUUGUUUUCCCAACUUAAGAUCUUCAUGUUAAAUUUCAAAUGAUAUACCUGACCGAGCCUAGACUCUUCACUACUAAAUUUAUGCCAAUGAAUGUCGGUUGUCAGAAGCAUGAAACAAAACUUGUGAUCCAAAGGGGCAUAGCCCGACUUUCUAUCCUAUUUCGGGUUUUAACAAGGUUGUUCCUUGUUUAUUUCUAUGAAUUAGUUGCACCUCG